rnacentral:lncRNA from 1 species
CGUUGGUUGCCCAAAGCUUUCUUUUGCGGUUUCUCAUGUCUCAGUCUGCACUCUGAAGGUUUUAUUUGCACCCAUGAGAGUGCCUUCCAUCCCCAGCCACAACUAAAGAGUCCAGAGUGUUAAAAUCUCAGGAUCCAUUUACAGCCAUUUCAGGUGAUGAUUUUGGAGCUACUACCAGAGAUUCUUCCCCAUUUAGCUUUCCAUUGUCUGAUGUUUCAUGUUCAGAACUCGAUACUCCAUCCUUAUGAUUUUCAUCAUCUGAACUGCUGCUAUUAGUCUCUUCACUACUUCUUGAGUCCUCCGCUCCCUUGGCCACUAUUGACCGGGCUGCAGAUCCUGCGGUGCCUGGACUUUUCUUACCCGUAAGCACUGCAUGGCUCAGUGUCGAACAUAGCACAGCAAAUACAUUUUCCCUUUUCGAACUUUUCCCCAGCCGUGGUUUCUUGGACGGCUCUUGUUCUCUUUCUACGCAAGGGGAUUUGCGUUUCAGUCUAAGGAGCUCGCCCUCCUCAUCCUCAGAGGCUUCUGGCUGUUUCCGGGGAGGAGGUUUAUAGUCUUCAUCAUCUUCAUCGUCCUCAUAAUCAACCAAGCCUCCAGACCUCGGACU